GUGUCGGUGGUACAACGGUUAGCAUAGCUGCAUUCCAAGCAGUUGACCCAGGUUCGACUCCUGGCCGACGCA